GAAGGAAGGCCCUUCGGCAGGAACUGAACAGGCAGGCCUGCCAAAUCGCUCUAGUGCUGCUGUGGUUCAGGUCAUGGUAGUGAGCGACUAGAGAAAAGGCUGCGGAAUAGUAGUCAGA
rfam:Lachnoclostridium sp. An14 An14_contig_65, whole genome shotgun sequence.